ACCUGCAGAGAGCUUGGUGCUGUCAAGUUUUCCGUGACGGAUGCUAGCUAGGGUGCUUCCAGCUUCGGACGCUCUCGGAUUUGCCAACCGGCGUCAAGAAUAUAAAUUCUUUAGAGGUUCUUCCUGGAAUGAAGAAAGGUCUCGACCACGACCUAUGUUUGUAGAAACACAGCCCUGGUUUUGUGGGUUCAGGAGACCCAGUCCUACACUCUGGGAGUCCUGUGGCCCUGUUGCUUGGCACUGCCUAUGCAAGCUCUCAUCUCCUACUUCCAGUCUAAUCCAUUAUCAUCGCGGCAGAGAGACUGGUGGCAUGCAAGACGUGGUACUGGAGAGUAGCUGAGAAUUCCGCAUCUGGAUUUACAGGCAACAGACAGAGGCAGUGGGCCUGGCUUGAACAACUGAAACCCCAAAGCCCACCCUGAAUGACACAGUUCCUCAAGGAUACACCUUCUGCAACAAGGGCACACCUCCUAAUCCCUGUCAGGUAGCACCACUCUCUGACAACCAAGCAUUCACAUAUAUGAGCCUAUGGAGACCAUUCCUAGUCAAACCAAUGCUAACUAUGCCUGAACCCCAAAGUCUCAAUACUGGGACUAGAAUUCAAACAAAAAGCUCCAUCUCUAAUCCUGACAACUAUAAAGGGAAUCAACCUAAGCUCACGCUGUAGAACUUCUUUCAUGUUACCAAGACAGUUCCACUUAUACAGAUUCCUGUAGCCAUGAAGAGCAGGUUAACUCUAGGAAUGCAGCUGGGUGUAUUUUCAGGCCCCAGAGACUAACUGGCUUGCUUACACUAACAGCUUAACCAAUCCUGCAACUUGUAAAUUGUUUACACUGAUGGAGACCCCCACUCCUUCUUGUCCUUGUUUAUGUUAUACUACAAGUGUUUAAAUAAUAACAACAACAAUAAUAAAAAGAGGUCAGGGCCCACCUAAAUCUAAAUUCUGGGCUUACUCUUGCAUGGCAGGCUGUCCCCAUUCAUUCUCCUAUUGGAGGUGGGCAGGCAUCUCCAGCUCUGCUGAAGUUCAAAUUUCAGCCAUAAUUGACCAAAAUUUCAAGGGAACUUAUUGUUCAAGCAGAUGUAGACUUAGGCCAUCUGAAAAGUUUUAUUUCCUGUCUGGAAGCCCAGGUAGACUCCCUAGUAGAGGUGGAUCUCCAGAAUCCAACAGGUCUACAUCUCUUCUUCAUGGAAUAAGGGGAGAGUUUGGUUCUAUGCCAACCAGAAGGCAAGAAACUGAAAACUGGUACCAAUCCUUGGUCUCUCCGUCCCUUUGGUUAACUGUACUUAGCGUCCAUUACUGAGCCAUGAGUCCUUUAACCCAGAAGUCCUCCAAAGGAGCAUCUUUAACUCUGGUUGCCAGAUUUGGGCCAAUGUCUUCAGAAUACAGUCAGCUUUUGUGUUAUCAAAUUGCCCCUACCUCCCAAGGUCUGGGGUUGCAAUUGCACACCACUGUACCCAGUGAAGAAAAAUACAAUUUCCUUUUUGGUCGAAUGUAGGGACUAGGGGUAUGAUUUAGUGGGUAAAAUGCCUGCUCUGCAACCAUGAAGAUCUGGGUUCGAAUCCUCAAAACCCAUAAAGCCAGGUACCAAACCACAGAAACCACAAUCCUAGCACUGGGAGGAAGAGAGGAGAGGACUGCAUGGACCUACUGGGCAGCCUGGUAAGCUCCAAGUUUAGUGAAAGACCUUGACUCGAAAACUAAGGUGAAGGAGCUGGGGUUGCGACUGAGGUUCAUUCAGAGUGCGCUCUGCUCUUUGCAGAGGACUAGAGUUCAGUUCCGGCAUAUACAUCGGGUGGUUCAAACUGCCCUUAACACAAGCCCUGGGAGAUGCAGUGUCUUCUUUGUACCCCACAGGCACCAGCUACAUGCACAUAACCCCACCUUGUAUACACAGUU